rnacentral:lncRNA from 1 species
AUGGCAUUUCGCUUUCCUUUGAUAAAGCAAGCUAAGAAGCAUAUCCUUUUCCGCACACUUUCAAAAGGAAAAAAAGUAUUGUUAGCUAAUAGUAAUAUACCAAAAGGAUAUUUAGCAGUAUAUGUUGGAGAAGAGAAAAAGAAGAGAUUUGUUGUUCCAAUAUCAUAUUUGCAUCAACCUGCUUUUCAACAAUUUCUUUCUAAAGCUGAACAAGAGUUUGGAUUUAAUCAUCCAAUGGGCGGUCUCACUAUUCCUUGCAGAGAAGAGAUCUUUGUUAAUGUAACUUCUCAACUGGAAAGUUAA